UGUAAAUCAGCUCUGGUCACACAAAAGAAAAUCUGUGAAGACCAUAGAGCUUCCCAUUUAAACCACAGAGAAGACAUACAGUACACUGAGAUCCGUUACUCUCUACAUUACACUGGCCUUUCCACCUCCCCCACUGAGCGUGCCUUAUAGAGUUGGGUCCUGGGGUGGGCGACGGAAUGGAAAGCAGGCCUUUUCUCCAGUUCCACUGCAGUUAUUGAUGAGGGUCCACUCUGGUUUCCUCUGCAAGGAUACAUGCACAGAUGGUCCACUGAGAAGAGCUCCAGCAACGCUGCCAAUUUCAUUACAGGGGUUCAGUUGGACCUGUGACAAGUGUGAAUAUAUCUGUCUCUGUCACGCCAACCACCACAGCCACACAGAUAUCAAGAGAUUUCAGACGUAUUGAGCACUACGCAAAAUACCAGAGAAACUCAUUCAUAGUGGCUCAAUGCAUAUUUUGGAAUAUUUGUCAAUGUUUGUAUUUAUUACAUCAAUCAAAAAAUACUCUUCAGCAUUCUACAACAUGUGUGGCUUUCUAAGGACAAUUAUUAAUUUGCUAAACUUCUGGUUUUGUCAGACUGGAAUGAAUCUGGUCAUAUAGUAAAAGUAACACAUGAUGUUGAUAAAAAGAAGGAACAGAAAAAAGGGAGAAAAGAGUACAUUGGCAGCAGUCCAGGUGGAGACAGACACGGGAAGCUGGGGUGGAAUUUCAACAAUGCAGGCAGUCAUUGAGUUCUUCAGUGGAAUAGUGCCAUUUCUCUUUAUAAGUUCUCCUUUGUUGUGGUAUUCUCAGAAAGUAGCAAGAGCUAUUAGGGUUUACGAUGUGAACUUUUUAAAAGUACUUUUAUAUCUGCUUUGUGCACAAAAAUAAUUCUGCUCUCCAAGUGAAUUGUCUCAUAGCAGUGGUCCCCAACUACAUUCAGACACAGGCUGAUUCUUUCUUGAGCGGAUGGUCAGGGUGCCGGAACAUAAUUAUAAAUAACAAUAAUAAUACACUGAUAAUUGACAGCAAGAAGCACAAACAGAUAUAGUAUUUGACAAAAACAGAAUCAUUUCAAACCUUGAUUACAUUGGGAUACGAUCACAUUUGUCUUUCUAUUUAUGUGUGGGAAUACUUGGGAUCAGACUUCCUAAAUGUAAAUCACUUGUGCUGAUUUCCUGGUGGUGUUACAAUCUUUUAUGUCCAACAACAAAAAUUCAACAACCAAAAAAACGGGAGGCCAUAUAAAAUCCCCCUCGGGCUGCCAGUUGGGGAACCCUGGCCUAUAGGAACGGGUGUGCGGUAGGUGAUGCUUCCUCCAAACAUUUCUCGAAGAAUUAAGACAUUCUUGAAGACAGCAUUUUAACAAUUCAUUCAGUCAACAAUCACCUUUCUCAUCUCGCUCCCUUUAUUUCUCUCUCCCUUAAUCACUCCCAGUCCUGCUCUCUCAUCCCCUUUCUGUCUCAGUCUAUCUGAGAGGGAAGAUAAUUCUCCCAGAAUGCUUGACCAGGCUCCGUUGUGACUAUAAUAAAUGCCAGGACUGGCAGAAUGAAUUAUGCCUGGGCCUGAAAUGUACAUCACUGUCCAAGCAAGAACCUGGCAUGUAAUUAUACUGACACUAUAUAUAGAAGCAGAUGCCACAAAGAAUCCAUCACCACUAUUUAAAAAUCACAUUUAAGCUGAGCCACAUUACUUCUUAGAAUAAGGGACUUCAUGAUAUGAGAAUAUAUUAAACACUGCUUGAAAUUGUUAUUUGUAUUGUAGUACUUUGGUUUGGCCUUGGCAAGAAGAGAGUACAAAUAGCAACUGCUAGUUCUACAGUAUUUAAAAAAAAUUGACUUCCCAGCCCAUUGAAACCAUUCUAAUACAAUUGACAACAUUCUCACACCUCAUUUAGAUCAGAAUUUUUCUAAGAAGUGAUAAUACAACAUGGGGAUGGAUAUGUAGAUGGUGAAAAUGAAAACUGAGCAUCAGUCAUCAAGGUCUCAUUCACAAUUGUUAUAAUACAGGAAAUACUGCAUUACAGAUGCCAUAUCUUAAUUUGACCCAGUUUCUCACAGCAGGAACAUAAUUCUGCAGCAACAGGAAAUGUGGAUUAUAAUUAAUGGACAUUUUUUGCAGGGGUUGCUACAUUUUUUGUUAGGAAAAAUCAAGUCUUAAAUUUUAAAGUGGAAAUUACAAACUUUAGAAGCCUUUUAAAACCUUGUAUACAUUAGAAAUUAGCAUUCCUGCAACAACAGGAUAAUCAAAUUAAGAUACUGCAUCUGUAUAGCACAAUACAAUGGAACAUAGCAGAAGUUCUGAACUUGCCAUCCAUUAUAAUGGGUGACAGUUUGGCUAGAGGAGAUUUGAUAUCAAAGCUGAUCUUCCAUUGAGGGGGGUUAAAUUAACCGAGUAACCUCCAGCUGCCAGCUUCUCUCCUGAGAGCCCAUUUAUUUGAUCAGGGUUUACCUCUCUGCUCAAAGCUUUCAUUCAUCUGACAUUUCAUUCUCCCUUUCUUUUCCCAGGGAUUUUCAGUUGUUCAUCAUUUAUUUUAUUUGCUUGAUGACUGUCUUCGGUGCAUCUAUCCACGGAGAAGCUUUGAAAUACAUAUUUCCAGGGUGUGGAGCUGGUGGAGUCAUAUUGAGAGGAUGUUAGUCUUCAGAUGUAACCACUUCUCUACACUAGCUUUUACUUUUCUGAUUCACUUUAAAAUAUAACAACAGAAAUAAAUUGGCUCCCUCCAAGGCAGGUUGUAAAUGA